AUUGAACGCUGGCGGCAGGCCUAACACAUGCAAGUCGAACGGUAACAGGAAGAAGCUUGCUUCUUUGCUGACGAGUGGCGGACGGGUGAGUAAUGUCUGUGAAACUGCCUGAUGGAGGGGGAUAACUACUGGAAACGGUAGCUAAUACCGCAUAACGUCGCAAGACCAAAGAGGGGGACCUUCGGGCCUCUUGCCAUCGGAUGUUCCCAGAUGGGAUUAGCUAGUAGGUGGGGUAACGGCUCACCUAGGCGACGAUCCCUAGCUGGUCUGAGAGGAUGACCAGCCACACUGGAACUGAGACACGGUCCAGACUCCUACGGGAGGCAGCAGUGGGGAAUAUUGCACAAUGGGCGCAAGCCUGAUGCAGCCAUGCCGCGUGUAUGAAGAAGGCCUUCGGGUUGUAAAGUACUUUCAGCGGGGAGGAAGGGAGUAAAGUUAAUACCUUUACUCAUUGACGUUACCCGCAGAAGAAGCACCGGCUAACUCCGUG
rnacentral:rRNA from 1 species